rnacentral:rRNA from 1 species
UGGGGAAUAUUGGACAAUGGAGGCAACUCUGAUCCAGCAAUUCUGUGUGUGUGAAGAAGGUUUUAGGACUGUAAAACACUUUUAGUAGGGAAGAAAGAAAUGACGGUACCUACAGAAGAAGCGACGGCUAAAUACGUGCCAGCAGCCGCGGUAAUACGUAUGUCGCGAGCGUUAUCCGGAAUUAUUGGGCUUAAAGGGCAUCUAGGCGGUUAAACAAGUUGAAGGUGAAAACCUGUGGCUCAACCAUAGGCUUGCCUACAAAACUGUAUAACUAGAGUACUGGAGAGGUGGGUGGAACUACACGAGUAGAGGUGAAAUUCGUAGAUAUGUGUAGGAAUGCCGAUGAUGAGGAUAACUCACUGGACAGCAACUGACGCUGAAGUGCGAAAGCUAGGGGAGCAAACAGG